rnacentral:snRNA from 1 species
AGUUGUGAGGGGGACCUGGCUGCAACAUCUGUCACCCCUCUGAACGCCAGGGGCGGCUGAUCCGGCCGGGGAGAAGCAUGUCCUCGUCCUUCUCACUGCUCCGUGCGAGUCCCUCUGGGCAGCUGCGCGCUAGGUCGGCUAGAGGACGACAGCCCCCCACAGAGGAGAACCAUUUCUUCCGUUAAGGGUAUAGGUUCUGCGAAGUCUUGCUAGAACCUCCAGACAAACUCUCUGGAAGAAAUAGGAAGACUGAGUAAGUUUAAAGAGGAAAACGAUUGAAUUAUUAAUCUAU